GGGGAAUAUUGCACAAUGGGCGCAAGCCUGAUGCAGCGACGCCGCGUGCGGGAUGACGGCCUUCGGGUUGUAAACCGCUUUUGAUCGGGAGCAAGCCUUCGGGUGAGUGUACCUUUCGAAUAAGCACCGGCUAACUACGUGCCAGCAGCCGCGGUAAUACGUAGGGUGCAAGCGUUAUCCGGAAUUAUUGGGCGUAAAGGGCUCGUAGGCGGUUCGUCGCGUCCGGUGUGAAAGUCCAUCGCUUAACGGUGGAUCUGCGCCGGGUACGGGCGGGCUGGAGUGCGGUAGGGGAGACUGGAAUUCCCGGUGUAACGGUGGAAUGUGUAGAUAUCGGGAAGAACACCAAUGGCGAAGGCAGGUCUCUGGGCCGUUACUGACGCUGAGGAGCGAAAGCGUGGGGAGCGAACAGGAUUAGAUACCCUGGUAGUCCACGCCGUAAACGGUGGAUGCUGGAUGUGGGGCCCGUUCCACGGGUUCCGUGUCGGAGCUAACGCGUUAAGCAUCCCGCCUGGGGAGUACGGCCGCAAGGCUAAAACUCAAAGAAAUUGGCGGGGGCCCGCACAAGCGGCGGAGCAUGCGGAUUAAUUCGAUGCAACGCGAAGAACCUUACCUGGGCUUGACAUGUUCCCGACAGCCGUAGAGAUAUGGCCUCCCUUCGGGGCGGGUUCACAGGUGGUGCAUGGUCGUCGUCAGCUCGUGUCGUGAGAUGUUGGGUUAAGUCCCGCAACGAGCGCAACCCUCGCCCUGUGUUGCCAGCACGUCAUGGUGGGAACUCACGGGGGACCGCCGGGGUCAACUCGGAGGAAGGUGGGGAUGACGUCAGAUCAUCAUGCCCCUUACGUCCAGGGCUUCACGCAUGCUACAAUGGCCGGUACAACGGGAUGCGACACGGCGACGUGGAGCGGAUCCCUGAAAACCGGUCUCAGUUCGGAUUGGAGUCUGCAACCCGACUCCAUGAAGGCGGAGUCGCUAGUAAUCGCGGAUCAGCAACGCCGCGGUGAAUGCGUUCCCG
rnacentral:rRNA from 1 species